rnacentral:rRNA from 1 species
ACGGAGGGUGCAAGCGUUAAUCGGAAUCACUGGGCGUAAAGCGCACGUAGGCGGCCCGGUAAGUCAGGGGUGAAAUCCCACAGCCCAACUGUGGAACUGCCCUUGAUACUGCCGGGCUUGAGUACCGGAGAGGGUGGCGGAAUUCCAGGUGUAGGAGUGAAAUCCGUAGAUAUCUGGAGGAACACCGGUGGCGAAGGCGGCCACCUGGACGGUAACUGACGCUGAGGUGCGAAAGCGUGGGUAGCAAACAG